CCCUUAGAGUUUGAUCCUGGCUCAGGACGAACGCUGGCGGCGCGCCUAACACAUGCAAGUCGAACGAGAGAGAGGAAGCUUGCUUCCUCAAUCGAGUGGCGAACGGGUGAGUAACGCGUGAGGAACCUGCCUCAAAGAGGGGGACAACAGUUGGAAACGACUGCUAAUACCGCAUAAGCCCACGGGUCGGCAUCGACCAGAGGGAAAAGGAGCAAUCCGCUUUGAGAUGGCCUCGCGUCCGAUUAGCUGGUUGGUGAGGUAAUGGCCCACCAAGGCGACGAUCGGUAGCCGGACUGAGAGGUUGAACGGCCACAUUGGGACUGAGACACGGCCCAGACUCCUACGGGAGGCAGCAGUGAGGAAUAUUGCACAAUGGGGGAAACCCUGAUGCAGCGACGCCGCGUGGAGGAAGAAGGUCUUCGGAUUGUAAACUCCUGUUGUUGAGGAAGAUAAAGACGGUACUCAACAAGGAAGUGACGGCUAUU
rnacentral:rRNA from 1 species